rnacentral:rRNA from 1 species
GACGAACGCUGGCGGCGUGCUUAACACAUGCAAGUCGAGCGGUAAGGCACCUUCGGGUGUACACGAGCGGCGAACGGGUGAGUAACACGUGAGUAACCUGCCCUUCUCAUCGGAAUAAGCGUUGGAAACGACGUCUAAUGCCGAAUAUGACUUCGGACCGCAUGGUCUGAAGUGGAAAGCUCCGGCGGAGAAGGAUGGACUCGCGGCCUAUCAGCUUGUUGGUGAGGUAAUGGCUCACCAAGGCGACGACGGGUAGCCGGCCUGAGAGGGUGACCGGCCACACUGGGACUGAGACACGGCCCAGACUCCUACGGGUGGCAG